AGAAAAGAAGUUUCAAAAUAUUUGACCUGCAAUCAAAAGAAGGUAGGGUCUCCCCGCCCUUUUCUG
rnacentral:tRNA from 1 species